CUCGCCAGCACCGCCCGCCCCCGCUACCUCCUCCGCGGCACCUGCUGCCGCCCGCCGCGCCCGCACACCGCUGGCGCGGCUCGGCGGGGCACGGGCGGCGCGAGUGAAGCUCUUUUUGAUUCACAUCCGGUUGUAUCAUGACUACACUAGAAACAAACCGUUCUACUGCAUGAAUAACUUUGGAGUGGAUUAUCUCUUGCAGUUCAUGUAAUGAAUGACUGCACACACCAUCCAAAUGGGCAAAUAGUUGGUGUAUCAGAGACUUGUUUAAAAAGUUAAGAUUUGAUUUUGUGUAACUGAAAUACAUCUGGAGAUUAUUUUUCUCGUAUGUGUGUAAAUAUGAAGAGAGCAGUUCCUAGUGUUUACCUUCCUACAGCUCUUCCACUUCAUGGCCUCAGGGGCAAAGACUGCUUUCCCAGCCUGCCUGGUAUGUGGCAUUAGAUGCUACAGCCUUGUUCUUGCUAACAUAUGCUGCUUCAAGCAAGAAAAAUCUUUUGUGUACACAGGGGUUGACUGGGCUCCUCAAGAAGGUGUCUUAGUGUAAGUAGUAUGUUGAAAAUAUAAUUCCCCUUGCAGAUGUACAAUACAACAUACUGCCUUCAGUGCUCACUACUGCAUGGUCUGCUGUGCUUUGAGCUGAACAGCACUUUCAUAAAGGUCCUGUUGUCAUUACAGAAAUAUUUUAUAAGCCAUUUCCUGAUAUGCAAUUCACAAGAAGACUCUAGUCAUGGAGAAAUACAAAGCUGGAUCUGGGUAGCUGACGGCCUUCCUUGCUUGUCUGUAGAAUAUAUGGGUUUACUGGAGGGAGAAAAAUUAUUCUUUGUGCUCUGCAUUAUGGCUGCUCCACGAUCAUCUGUACCUGGCUUUGUGGUGGGGGUCCAACUUUCUAUCUGGGAUGUAACUAGCUCUUUGCACACCUCAGGGUUUGGACUCCAAAGCAGAACUUGGUAUAAAGUAAUUUUUGUAAUUUCAGCUAUAUUAAAGUGCUUCAGUAAGUUAGUGUAUGAAUCUUACAAUCCACAGGUUUUGGUGGCAUCUCCAUAAAGGGAUCUCAGACAGAAAAUUUUUCUCCAUCCUUAGCAACAUCCUUACAGGAACUCUGUUCAAGUGAGGGGCAGGAAUCUGUAUGCUAUGAGGUGGUCUGCAAGAUGGUGCCAUCUGCACUGAGGUUUCAUGCCUUUGCAGCAACAUUAGUCUUUCAAAGGCUUUCUUCAUGUGGGAAUGGGAAGAUACCUUGUGGGGUCUGCAGUGUGUAUAAUGAAUAGAGAGUCAUGUGUUCAUACAAGGAUACAAGCCAGAAUAUAUCCAUACAGAAGAAUAGAAUAAAAUUAUGGGUUUCUGUCUGUUAAAAAUAUGCUCAUGGGAGAAUAACAGCCCUACUGUGCUAGUGAGAAUAUAAGAGCAAAGCAUGUAUGUGGUCUAAGGUUUAGGAAGGGUGCUGAAUUUUGUAAGGAAUGUGAGCUGCCUCUUGUAAUUGUAACUGCUUUAUUCGUUUUGUUGGGGAAAAUGCAUUAACAUUUGUUUGUUUCCAUUAGUGACCUGCAGUCUUUGUCUUUUUGCAAUACAUAUUUGAGUUUAACUUCUUUGGUUCUGGGGAAGUCAGGAAGCUGCCGACAGCAGGUAGAUAAGAAAGUGCCCAACCUCAGUACAGAGAGGAAGUGUGUAGGGAAACCUGGCAUUGCCACCUCAGUUAAGCACGUUCUCACAGUCAAGUGGUAUAUGGUAUUGAAUAUAAUGCAUAAUUGUUUUAGUACUGCUUAUUGUUUUUAGCAAAGUCUCCAAGUCUCCACCCUAUUUUCUGGCUGUAACUGGUGAAUGUUCUUGAAUAUGAGAUGUUGCCUUGGAAAAGCUGGAAAGUACUGUCAAGAAGCUAAGCGAACCACUUACACAUUGCCUUCACCUUAAAAUAUGAUGCAACAAGAAAAGGCAUCGUAUUACCUUUCCUUUUGGAAUUGUGGCAGAUAUUGGAUCCCUGAGAUUUUACAAUAUCAAUUCACUGGUUAAUGCAUUUGGAUUUACAAAAAAAUGGAUAAGUGGUCCCAUCCUUUGGUCUGGAUCCUUUGGGAUAAUUAAAUUACUCUGUUGGUUAUAGAGUGUAAAGUCAACUUACAAGAAAAAAUAAAGAACAAAAAGGAUCUUCUGGAGUACAUGUAACGUGAAUUCACUGUGUUUUGUUCCUUUCUCUUAUUGCCUUAAAGACCAUAUAGCCUCAAUUUCUAAAUGAAUUCCUGAAGCACUGGGAUUACUAAUUCAGCCUCAGUUCUUAAAUCAGCAGGACUUUUGCAUUCAGCACCUUUGGUGAAGGACAUGAUGUGAGGAUGUGCCUACAACAUUCAGCCUAAUCUUUUAAGGAAAAGGAAAGCCUCAUGGGUAGAAAAAGCAGCAACUAUGUAUUAUGAGAUAACACCCUGCGUUAGGAUCAGUUGCAGAAAUAUUUUCUUCAUUGCGUGCUGGUGUUAAAGGCAUUAACUGCUUUUGAGAUUGCAUGCCUGAACUUGCAGUAAAUGAAGGAGGUGUGUUCAUGGCUGUAUUUUGGACAUGCAGAACCAAGAUCUGUAUUACUGACUUCAGAUGAGUUGUACAGAGGAUAAGAGAAAGCGAAUGUAUCCUUUGGGAAUAUUAUAAAAUAGGUAUGUGCAUGAAUCCUGAUUCAUGUGAUUGUGUGUCUGAAUCUGAGGGAUAAAUUGGCCUAUUUUUUCUUUUUCGAAGGCUUCUCUGCAAAUUGUGUGAAGGUUUAUACUCUUGUUAAAAAGUCCUGCUCAUGUCCAUGUUCUGUGUUCUGUCUACAGCUUUACACAAAAAGAAGGGGAACAAAGAAACAUAUACACAACUUUCCAGUAAAAAUGCACCAUUCCUGUGUUCUUCAAGAUAUCUAAGAGUGAAUCAGGACUCAUAGAAAAGUCCUGUUUACCCACCAUCAUUAUAUGAGCUGUAAAAAUAAGACAGAACUUAAGUUUCACUGGUGAUUUUAAUCCACUUUUUAAAUUUUUAAAAAAAUUUCUAGUGGUACAAGAAAUAGAUAGUUCCUCUCUGAAGGAGCCUAGAAAAUACUUAUUUCUUUUGGUUGUAUUCUUCACAAUGACAGAAAAAAAUGGAUACAGUUGCCAAUAUCAACACCAAUUGGAAUUCGCUGCUGAUUCCUGUGAGGACAGGAUUUCGUCCUCUCUUCUACAAACCGGUCAGUUUUCUUUGUAUAGUCACUUAUUAACAAGGCUCCCCUGUUGUGAGCAUGUGUGAUAUGAACAUAAAUGCAUUUUUCUUAGUGUUACAGUACUAAAAGACUUCAUAACAGCUAUGCUAUGUUAGGAACGGAACCUUGGAAGCAUUUAAUUUGUUUUCAAACCACAAGUUUGAUUUAAUUGGUGGUACUGUGCAGUGUGUAAGCCUGGAAAUGAGAGGAUUUUAAGUCAUGCUUUGGAACCAAAAUUUCCAUUAUCCUUUUUGGUUUGUUUUUUUUUUUUCUUUUUUUUUUUUUCAGUAAUAUGUGAUAAAACUUUAGUUGUGAAAUAAGUGCCUCCAUUUCUGCCAGAUGUAGCAUAGAAUGUGGCUUCAGAAUAUACCUGUUGCUACCGCGCGGGUGUGGUGGGGGAAGGGCUUUGGAAGGGCUUUGGGAAUGGGAAAGCUGAGAAGGAUUCAUUUUUGUAUUUCCCUGAGUUUCUAGAAAGUUUCACUUCAGCAUUUUUAUGUAACCCCACCCUUACCAAUUUUGCAGCUGUGCACUUUUUAUAUGUAUCAUUAGAAGUGAGAAACUCUUUAGAAUAUCAUGCCCUGAUGUGACACCAAUUCUGUAUGGUUAGUAAUAAGCCAAAUAAAACUUGAUCUUGCUAUACGGCAAGAUUUAUUAUACAUAAGUAUAUUCUGAUCGGAUUUUUCUAUGAGAAAACUUGCUAGGAUGAAAGCAUAUAAAAAUUCCACUGAAAGUGCAUGUUUGUAAAGAUUUCCAAUGGAAAAUGACGAAUUUGAAAUUUGAUUUUCUUUCAUGUUUUUCUUAAUAUGUUCACCUUCGUGGAAGUACACAUGUGUUCACAUGGUAAAUCUGAUAUUUCUGUUCCAAAAAGUUCUAUAGUGGAGAAGGAUAUUAAUAUUUGUUUUCUUCUUUACUAAGGAUAAAAAAAUGAUGUGUUGUAUGUUAGAAAUAAGAAAUGAAAUUAUUUUAGUGGAUUAAAA